GAUGAACGCUGGCGGCGUGCUUAACACAUGCAAGUCGAACGUGAGAAUAGCAAUAUUUGAAAGUGGCAAACGGGUGAGUAACACGUGGGAACCUGCCUCGAAGUGGGGGAUAACGAUUGGAAACGGUCGCUAAUACCGCACGGUUCUGCUCUGAUGGGAAUGGAGCAGAUAAAGAUUUAUCGCUUUGAGAGGGGCCCGCGGCCGAUUAGCUAGUUGGUAAGGUAAAGGCUUACCAAGGCGAUUAUCGGUAGCUGGUCUGAGAGGACGAUCAGCCACACGGGAACUGAGACACGGUCCCGACUCCUACGGGGGGCAGCAGUGAGGAAUAUUGGGCAAUGGGCGAAAGCCUGACCCAGCAACGCCGCGUGGAGGAUGAAGGCUUUAGGGUUGUUAAACUCCUUUUUGUGGGGGUAAAAGAAUGGAUGGGUACCCCAAGAAUAAGUUCACGGCUAACUACGUGCCAGCAGCCGCGGUAAACCUGUCUACG
rnacentral:rRNA from 1 species